rnacentral:tRNA from 1 species
GCCUUCGUGGUGUAACGGUAGCACACUUGAUGCGUAUUUGAGAGGUCCAGGUUCGAGUCUCGGCGAGGGCA